UGAAUAAAGUGAGGUUAUGGUCACUUAGAAGGCCUCACUUAUAAGUGACCUCAUAAUUGACUUCAGCACAGCUGAGAACCAUGGCCUCACAAUGUGAGGAGGCAGGUGGGAAAGGAACCGAGGAAGAUGACUAGAGAGCUGACGGUUACAGGAGGACGAGGUUUGGGUUAGGCUUUGAGGGAAAGUUUGAUUUCACCAGCCGGGAAGCUGGAGCGUGGGAGGAGACCCCUGGACCACACCCACAAGAAUCACCUUCACAGCAGAUCAUGAGAAUCAGAGCUGUGAUGACGAUGGAGGUACCUGGAAGAGAGCAGGCACACUGGAGGCAUGCUGUACU
rnacentral:lncRNA from 13 species